rnacentral:rRNA from 1 species
GACGAACACUGGCUCGCCGCCUCAUGCAUGCCAGUAAAACCCUGAAAGACGAGCUUGCUUCUCUGGAUGAGUUGACAACGGGUGAGUAACGCGUAAGCAACCUGCCAUGUACCUGGGGAUAACUAUUGGAAACCAUUUCUAAUGCCCCAUGAUACUAGAUGGUGCACGACAUUUGCUUGAGAGGGGCGAUUGCAUCACUACCCCAUGGACCUGCGUUGUAUUACCUAGUUGGUGGGGUAACGGCUCACCUAGGCGACGAUACCUAACCUACCUGAUAGGGCGAUCUGCCACACUGGGACUGACACACCGCCCAGACUCCUAACGAAGGCCGCGCUCCGGAAUCUUCUCCGAUGGACGGAAGUCAGACCUAUCUCCCCCGCGUGAGUGAAGAAUGUUUUCAGAUCGUAAAGCUCUGCUGGUAGAUAAGAACUAGUGCGAGAGUGGAAACUUCAGUCUGUGGCCGCAUCUUACCCUAUAAGGACCGAUCACUACGCCCCACCCCCCGCGGUAAUACCUAUGUGCCGAACCUUCUCCAGAUUUGUUGGGCAUACCAGCUAGCGCUUGCGGCUCGAUAAGUCUGAAGUUAAAGGGUGUGGCAUCACCAUAGAUCGCUUUGGAAUCUGUCUAUCGGAUGCGCAAGAGGGGAGAGUGGAAUUCCAUGCGUAGCGUGGUAAUGCGUAGAUAUAUGGAGGAACACCGGUGGCGAAAGCGGCUCUCUGGCUCGUAACCGACGCUGAUGCUCGAAAGCGUGGGGAGCUAACAGGAUUAGAUGCGGUGGUAGUCCACGCCGUAAAAGAUGAGUGUUAGGUGUUAGACCCUUUCCCGGGGUUUAGUGCCGCAGCUAACGCAUUAAGCACUCCCCCUGGGGAGUACGACCGCAAGGUUGAAACUCAAAGGAAUUGACGGGGGGCCGCACAAGCGGUGGAGCAUGUGGUUAUAUUCGAAGCAACGCGAAGAACCUUCCGAGGUCUUGACAUCCCUCUGACCUCUCUAGAGAUAGAGUUUUUCCUUCGGGACAGACGUAGACAGGUGGUGCAUGGUCGUGCCUCAGCUCGUGUCGGGAGAUGAGGGGCUAAGUGCCGCAUCGAGCGCACCCCUUGUUGUUGGAUGCCAUCAUUGAGAAGGGCACUCUAGCGAGACUGCCGGUAAUAAACCGGAGGAAGGUGGGGAUGACGUCAAAUCAUCAUGCCCCUUAUGACCCGGGCGGCACACGAGAUACUAUGGUAGGAGCACCGAGUUGCAAGCGGGAGACGGCUAGCUAAUGUAGUAAAUCCAGUUUCAGUUCGGCUGGUAGGCGGCAACUUGCGAGCAGCAAGUUGGUAUUGUUUGUAAUCGCAGAUCAGCACGACGCGGGACAUACAUUCCUGGUCCU